rnacentral:tRNA from 1 species
GGGACCGUAGCUCAGCCGGUGAGAGCGCCUGUCUUAUAUGCAGGCGGUCGUGGGUUCAAGUCCCACCGGUCCCA